rnacentral:lncRNA from 1 species
CUAAUUGUGUGGGAUUCGGUUGUCAUAAAUUCUCAUACAAUAUGGGUGGGCACACAGUGAAUCUCAAUGGUCCCGUGGAUCAUGGUGAUGAACCACAUGGAACUUAGUUCGAGGGAGAGAUUGUUGGGUAUGAAUAGCACACAGUACAGUGAACUUGAAAAUUGACUUGUGAAUCGUGGUGAUGGACCACUGUUUGUUAAUCGUGUGGGUU